GAUGAAGAACGCAGCGAAAUGCGAUACUUGGUGUGAAUUGCAGAAUCCCGUGAACCAUCGAGUUUUUGAAUGCAAGUUGCGCCCGAAGCCGUUAGGCCGAGGGCACGCCUGCCUGGGUGUCACACAUCGUUGCCCCAAUGCCAAUCGCCUCACUUUGUAGGUAUUUGCUUGGGGUGAAUGUUGGCCUCCCGUGAGCUUUGUCUCACGGUGGGUGGAAAAUCGAGUGCAUGGUGUCGGGUGUACCAUGAUGGAUGGUGGUUGAGUGAUGAUGCUCGGGACCAAUCAUGGGUAACGCCACCAGAAUUGGGCUCGGUGACCCACAUGCGUCCCUUGGAUGCUCCCUAAGGAGACCUCAGGUCAGGCGGGGCUACCCGCUGAGUUUAAGCAUAUCAAUAAGCGGAGGA
rnacentral:misc_RNA from 1 species